UCAGGAUGAACGCUAGCGACAGGCUUAACACAUGCAAGUCGAGGGGCAGCAUAAAGUAGCAACACUUGGUGGCGACCGGCGCACGGGUGAGUAACGCGUAUGCAACCUACCUAUCAGAGGGAAUAACCCGGCGAAAGUCGGACUAAUACCGCAUAAAACAGGGGCACCGCAUGGUGACAUUUGUUAAAGAAAUUCGCUGAUAGAUGGGCAUGCGUUCCAUUAGGUAGUUGGUGAGGUAACGGCUCACCAAGCCGACGAUGGAUAGGGGAACUGAGAGGUUGGUCCCCCACACUGGUACUGAGACACGGACCAGACUCCUACGGGAGGCAGCAGUGAGGAAUAUUGGUCAAUGGGCGGGAGCCUGAACCAGCCAAGUCGCCGUGAAGGAAGAAGGAUCUAUGGUUCGUAAACUUCUUUUGCAGGGGAAUAAAGUGCAGGACGUGUCCUGUUUUGUAUGUACCCUGAGAAUAAGGAUCGGCUAACUCCGUGCCAGCCGCGGC
rnacentral:rRNA from 1 species